AACGUAGGAGACAAACGUUAUCCGGAGUUACUGGGCGUAAAGGGCGUGUAGGCGGUUUGUUAAGUCUGGCGUGAAAGCUCUCGGCUAAACCGGGAGAGGUCGUUGGAUACUGGCAGACUAGAGGACGGUAGAGGCGUGUGGAAUUCCGGGUGUAGUGGUGAAAUGCGUAGAUAUCGAGAGGAACACCUGCGGCGAAGGCGGGUAGCUGGGCCGACACUGACGCUGAGGCGCGAAAGCCAGGGGAGCGAACGGG
rnacentral:rRNA from 1 species